rnacentral:rRNA from 1 species
CCUACGGGAGGCAGCAGUAAGGAAUAUUGGUCAAUGGGCGCAAGCCUGAACCAGCCAUGCCGCGUGCAGGAAGACGGCCCUAUGGGUUGUAAACUGCUUUUGAACAAGAGAAAACCUCGGUACGUGUACCGAGCUGAUAGUAUUGUUAGAAUAAGCAUCGGCUAACUUCGUGCCAGCAGCCGCGGUAAGACGAAGGAUGCAAGCGUUAUCCGGAUUCAUUGGGUUUAAAGGGUGCGUAGGCGGCCUGAUAAGUCAGUGGUGAAAUCUCUCAGCUUAACUGAGAAACUGCCAUUGAUACUGUCGGGCUUGAGUACAGAUGAUGUGGGCGGAAUAUGACAUGUAGUGGUGAAAUACUUAGAUAUGUCAUAGAACACCGAUUGCGAAGGCAGCUCACAAAACUGUAACUGACGCUGAGGCACGAAAGUGCGGGGAUCAAACAGGAUUAGAUACCCUGGUAGUCCGCACCGUAAACGAUGAUUACUCGUUGUUGGCAAUAUGACCGUCAGCGACCAAGCGAAAGCGAUAAGAAUCCACCUGGGGAGUACGCCGGCAACGGUGAAACUCAAAGGAAUUGACGGCGAGAGAGNGCGACGGACGACACGAGGGGAGGAGG